CCAGCGCACGGGGGGCAUCGGGGUGGCUCCCGGCCGGCACCCAGAGCUGGGACCCGCGGCCAACCUGUAGAGCAAGGCAGGAGCCCGCGCUGCCCCCUCCUCCUGCCAGGCUGCAAGCCCUGCGGGGGCUUCGGGGUGCCAGGGGAUGGAGCGCAGGGAAGGGGACGCAAGCUCCUUCCCACCCUGCCCGACUGCACGUGGAAAUGCCCCGGUGACGGAUGGAGGUCCCAGGAGGUGCCGAGCUCCCUCUGGUCCUGCUCUGGACACCCUCAGAAGGGGCUCAGCCCCCGGCAGGAUUCAGCCAGCGAGGUGAUGGCGGCGUGGAAAACGGGAUGCCCUCUCGAUUCCGGCAUGCCAAGGGGAGCCCGGAGUGCAAAGGACAUGCAGGCUGAGUUGCAGGAGAUGGUCGCCAGAGGGGCCUGGUCCUGCAUCUCCCAGAGGUCUGGCAGCACCCAUGACAAAUGGGAAUUUGGUGCCUUGGAGUGCUCCAGGAGUACAAGUGAUCAAUAACAGCAGCACAGCUGGGUGGGUUUUCGAGGCUCUCUCCCCUGCUGAUUCCUGUCAUGAUCACCUUUAGCCUUCAAGCAUGAGAUCUGAGCAGCCCCAAAGCCACAGGAGCCAGCUGCAGGCACCAAGGCUCUGAGAUGGCAUUUCCCUCUGAUGGAGCAACUGCAGAUUAUGUUUCCUUUACUGCAUGCAAAGAAGCCGGCUCUGGGAUGGCAGAGUGUACAGGAAGCACAUGUCAAAAGAGUAAAUAAUGAAUAUCAAAGCAACGGUGAAGGUGGAAAAAGCUCUUUAAGCUUCAAAGCAAACCACUGGAUUGCUCUAGAAGUUCUUGAGGGAUCCAGAUGAAGCUGAAGUUGGGAAAGGCGCAAGAGUAGCUGCAGGGAGGAUGUAGCUGUCAAGGAUUCUGGUCACGAGCAGAUCACAGAAAACCCAGGGGUUCAUAUAUGUGCUCUCAGCUCCCCCUCAAGACGCAGGAUGUGAAGUGGUGUGUGGGGAAAUUCACGGGACUGAUUUCUUUUGACCACCCCUACAGCUACCUGAGAACUGAGAGGUCUGGGGAAGACCGGCACUCAAGGAGAUGGAGAUGGUCUGAGCAGUGUUAGGGAAUCACAGUGUCCCCUUAUGAUGCUGUUUUGAGGACACCUUCCAGGCAGGGGCAUGCACUAGGACCAUCCAAACAGCUGCCCUCCCUGGUCUUCUCCUUCAUCUACGGUGGUUUCUUUUUGUAACUGGUACCGAGUCUUUUCCUUGGGCCAAGGGUAAGAAUGAAGCGUGUUGAUGGUGCUGGAGGGAAGAGAGAGCACUGCUUUUCAAGCAAGCACAUUAUUUAUCAGCAGCACAGGCUCAGCCGGUGAGAAACCCAUUUCAAAUUCAUGGUGACUGAUUUUGACCAGGAAAAAACACCCUCAGCCCACAUGCUGAGGAGGACAAAAUGUCCUGCACCAGUGUUUUGGGAGGAAGCAGCCCCUUAUUUUCCACUUUGAAGAGACAUUUGUUUUGAGGUCUACUGUCAUGGGAUUCCAAACUUAAACAGGAGAUGCGAUGUUUUAUUCAAGAUGCUUUUUAUCCCUUCUGGUAUUUCAGUUUAACCGGCAAACUAAUAAAACCUAUUAUUUACAGAGUCCUCAUGAGCCCAGAGCCUGGGGGGCCAAGCUGCCACAGCAAAUGAGGGUUUCAUCGUGCAGCCCUCACUGCAGGAUUUAGCUCUGGAAGACAAGGAGACAAUUCCAGCCCUGGCUCAGGAUCCCAAACCUUGCGAGGACGGCAGUGCUUUAAGAAGGAUGAGCCUGGGCACAUCCACAGCCUGUCCAAAUCUCCCCGUGCUGUCCCAAAACCCCUCUGCAGGACUUGUGCUGCCUGCUCCCACAACGGGGGGGAGGUGUGUGUGUGUGACUGCAGGCUGGAGCAGCAGGGGAAGGCAGGAGGCAGUUCUCUCCCUGCCUCUUCCCCGUGAAAGGGGCUGGUCACUCCUUGCCUCAGGCAAUGCCAAAGACAAGGAGUGUCUCUCUCCAAGGAGACUGUUCUUCUGGGCCACAUCAGAGGGAAAACAGAUGCAAGUGGAGAAAGGUGUUAUCCCAAGGUGUUCAGGAGCUCAUUUCUAAGAAAACGCAGGCGUUUGCAAAAUCUGCCUCAGACAGAUCUCUCUCCAAGUGUGGAGGAGUAGGACUGGGGGACCCCAGGCAGACACACAUCCCACGGAGCUCUGCAGGGAGAGGUCAGGCUUGAGAGCACUGCUGGCAGAGCUGGGCACGCCAGGACAAGGAGCUGCCAGGGUGUUCUCAGGCAGCUACUGCCAGGACCAUGCAGCAGACAGCUCUGAAGGGCUGCAUGGAGGUGAACUUACCUUCCCCUCCUCCCAUCGCUGCUCGUUGCAGGUCUGAGGACAGAGCACAGUUAGAGCCGCUGUCCUUGGUGCUCAUUCUCCUCCUGAUAAUGAACUGGGGCUCCAGCUGUCACCUACCCAGUGCGUCCUCUGGGAGCAGCGCAGGUUCCAAGGCCAAGGCUUCCCAUGGAUAUCCUCUCCAUGCCCAGAGCUGUGUGCUCUGGCAGAAGGCAGAGGCUGGUAGGGCUGUGAGUCUCCUACAGCAGCAUCCCUGAGGCUGAGUGUGCUGACAGACCUGGCAUGAGAGUGGGGAAGGACAUCUGAGGAGAAGUUGAUUACAGGGUCCCUUUGGGAAACUUGGAGGAUGAAAACCCCUGUAUAAGCCUUGACCCUUUUCUCCAAGUUGGGGCAUGUCCUGCACAGUAGAAACAUUUGUUCACCCUAUCAGGGCAUUUGUUCAACAUAACCGAGGUUUUGUCUUUUUCAGGCUCACCAGGCACAGCAGCAGAUGCUGCAUCUGGGCUCACAUGACAUCAAUAACCACUUCAGCUGGGCUCUGCCUUCCCACCUUUCUGGGCAGCGAUGAUAGAUGAAGCAGACAGGACACAGUGUGGUUUUUAGGUGCUGGAGUGAACUUGCAGUGCUGACAGAUUAAAAAAAUGUGUUUGGAGUCUGAA